GGUUAAGCGACUAAGCGUACACGGUGGAUGCCCUGGCAGUCAGAGGCGAUGAAGGACGUGCUAAUCUGCGAUAAGCGCCGGUAAGGUGAUAUGAACCGUUAUAACCGGCGAUUUCCGAAUGGGGAAACCCAGUGUGACUCGUCACACUAUCAUUAACUGAAUCCAUAGGUUAAUGAGGCGAACCGGGGGAACUGAAACAUCUAAGUACCCCGAGGAAAAGAAAUCAACCGAGAUUCCCCCAGUAGCGGCGAGCGAACGGGGAGGAGCCCAGAGCCUGAAUCAGCAUGUGUGUUAGUGGAAGCGUCUGGAAAGGCGCGCGAUACAGGGUGACAGCCCCGUACACAAAAGCGCAUGUGCUGUGAGCUCGAUGAGUAGGGCGGGACACGUGGUAUCCUGUCUGAAUAUGGGGGGACCAUCCUCCAAGGCUAAAUACUCCUGACUGACCGAUAGUGAACCAGUACCGUGAGGGAAAGGCGAAAAGAACCCCGGCGAGGGGAGUGAAAAAGAACCUGAAACCGUGUACGUACAAGCAGUGGGAGCACCCUUUGGGGUGUGACUGCGUACCUUUUGUAUAAUGGGUCAGCGACUUAUAUUCUGUAGCAAGGUUAACCGUAUAGGGGAGCCGUAGGGAAACCGAGUCUUAACCGGGCGUUAAGUUGCAGGGUAUAGACCCGAAACCCGGUGAUCUAGCCAUGGGCAGGUUGAAGGUUGGGUAACACUAACUGGAGGACCGAACCGACUAAUGUUGAAAAAUUAGCGGAUGACCUGUGGCUGGGGGUGAAAGGCCAAUCAAACCGGGAGAUAGCUGGUUCUCCCCGAAAGCUAUUUAGGUAGCGCCUCGUGAAUUCAUCUCCGGGGGUAGAGCACUGUUUCGGCUAGGGGGCCAUCCCGGCUUACCAACCCGAUGCAAACUGCGAAUACCGGAGAAUGUUAUCACGGGAGACACACGGCGGGUGCUAACGUCCGUCGUGAAGAGGGAAACAACCCAGACCGCCAGCUAAGGUCCCAAAGUCAUGGUUAAGUGGGAAACGAUGUGGGAAGGCCCAGACAGCCAGGAUGUUGGCUUAGAAGCAGCCAUCAUUUAAAGAAAGCGUAAUAGCUCACUGGUCGAGUCGGCCUGCGCGGAAGAUGUAACGGGGCUAAACCAUGCACCGAAGCUGCGGCAGCGAACGUAUCACCCAAGACAACUUUACGGAGUUGACGAUUGACGGAGCGAAGCGACGUCAAAGCGUUCAUUAAAGUCGAGUUGGCUUAGGGAUACGUUCGUUGGGUAGGGGAGCGUUCUGUAAGCCUGUGAAGGUGUGUCGUGAGGCAUGCUGGAGGUAUCAGAAGUGCGAAUGCUGACAUAAGUAACGAUAAAGCGGGUGAAAAGCCCGCUCGCCGGAAGACCAAGGGUUCCUGUCCAACGUUAAUCGGGGCAGGGUGAGUCGACCCCUAAGGCGAGGCCGAAAGGCGUAGUCGAUGGGAAACGGGUUAAUAUUCCCGUACUUGGUGUUACUGCGAAGGGGGGACGGAGAAGGCUAUGUUGGCCGGGCGACGGUUGUCCCGGUUUAAGCGUGUAGGUGUGUGUUCCAGGUAAAUCCGGUUCACUUUAACACUGAGGCGUGACGACGAGGCACUACGGUGCUGAAGCAACAAAUGCCCUGCUUCCAGGAAAAGCCUCUAAGCAUCAGGUAACAUCAAAUCGUACCCCAAACCGACACAGGUGGUCAGGUAGAGAAUACCAAGGCGCUUGAGAGAACUCGGGUGAAGGAACUAGGCAAAAUGGUGCCGUAACUUCGGGAGAAGGCACGCUGACACGUAGGUGAAGUGAUUUACUCAUGGAGCUGAAGUCAGUCGAAGAUACCAGCUGGCUGCAACUGUUUAUUAAAAACACAGCACUGUGCAAACACGAAAGUGGACGUAUACGGUGUGACGCCUGCCCGGUGCCGGAAGGUUAAUUGAUGGGGUCAGCGCAAGCGAAGCUCCUGAUCGAAGCCCCGGUAAACGGCGGCCGUAACUAUAACGGUCCUAAGGUAGCGAAAUUCCUUGUCGGGUAAGUUCCGACCUGCACGAAUGGCGUAAUGAUGGCCAGGCUGUCUCCACCCGAGACUCAGUGAAAUUGAACUCGCUGUGAAGAUGCAGUGUACCCGCGGCAAGACGGAAAGACCCCGUGAACCUUUACUAUAGCUUGACACUGAACAUUGAGCCUUGAUGUGUAGGAUAGGUGGGAGGCUUUGAAGUGUGGACGCCAGUCUGCAUGGAGCCGACCUUGAAAUACCACCCUUUAAUGUUUGAUGUUCUAACGUGGACCCGUUACCCGGGUUGCGGACAGUGUCUGGUGGGUAGUUUGACUGGGGCGGUCUCCUCCUAAAGAGUAACGGAGGAGCACGAAGGUUGGCUAAUCCUGGUCGGACAUCAGGAGGUUAGUGCAAUGGCAUAAGCCAGCUUGACUGCGAGCGUGACGGCGCGAGCAGGUGCGAAAGCAGGUCAUAGUGAUCCGGUGGUUCUGAAUGGAAGGGCCAUCGCUCAACGGAUAAAAGGUACUCCGGGGAUAACAGGCUGAUACCGCCCAAGAGUUCAUAUCGACGGCGGUGUUUGGCACCUCGAUGUCGGCUCAUCACAUCCUGGGGCUGAAGUAGGUCCCAAGGGUAUGGCUGUUCGCCAUUUAAAGUGGUACGCGAGCUGGGUUUAGAACGUCGUGAGACAGUUCGGUCCCUAUCUGCCGUGGGCGCUGGAGAACUGAGGGGGGCUGCUCCUAGUACGAGAGGACCGGAGUGGACGCAUCACUGGUGUUCGGGUUGUCAUGCCAAUGGCACUGCCCGGUAGCUAAAUGCGGAAGAGAUAAGUGCUGAAAGCAUCUAAGCACGAAACUUGCCCCGAGAUGAGUUCUCCCUGAGACUUAGAGUCUCCUGAAGGAACGUUGAAGACGACGACGUUGAUAGGCCGGGUGUGUAAGCGCAGCGAUGCGUUGAGCUAACCGGUACUAAUGAACCGUGAGGCUUAACCUU
rnacentral:rRNA from 4 species